rnacentral:rRNA from 1 species
CCGCCACCCGGUUAAAACCGAAUGAUUGGCCCGCCUGUUCUGCGAUUACACUUGUAGGGCGGCCAAGAAGAAAAUCGUUAAGCAUCCAACCUGGGGGAGUACGCCGGCAACGGGUGAAACUCAAAGGAAAUUGACGGGGGCCCGCACAAGCGGAAGGAACAUGUGGUUUAAUUCGAUGAUACGCGAGGAACCUUACCCGGGCUUGAACUGCAGAGGAAGGAAAUGGAGACAUUGACGCCCUUCGGGGCCUCUGUGGAGGUGCUGCAUGGUUGUCGUCAGCUCGUGCCGUGAGGUGUCGGCUUAAGUGCCAUAACGAGCGCAACCCUUUUCGUCAGUUGCCAUCAGGUGAUGCUGGGCACUCUGGCGACACUGCCGCCGUAAGGUGUGAGGAAGGUGGGGAUGACGUCAAAUCAGCACGGCCCUUACGUCCGGGGCUACACACGUGUUACAAUGGGUGGUACAGAGAGUAAAGUGCCGGCAACGUCACUUCAAUCAUGAAAGCCAUCCUCAGUUCGGAUUGGGGUCUGCAACCCGACCCCACGAAGCUGGAUUCGCUAGUAAUCGCGCAUCAGCCAUGGCGCGGUGAAUACGUUCCCGGGCCUUGUACACACCGCCCGUCAAGCCAUGAAAGCCGGGGGCGCCUGAAGUCCGUGACCGCGAGGGUCGGCAUAGGGUGAAACCGGUGAUUGGGGCUAAGU